GCUCCGUUCGUCUAGAGGUUAGGAUUCCAGGUUUUCAUCCUGGCGGCAGGGGUUCGAUUCCCCUACGGAGUA
rnacentral:tRNA from 1 species